rnacentral:Y_RNA from 1 species
GCUUGGUCCGAUUGCAGUGGUACUUUUAAUUAAUUGAUCAGUCAGUUACAGGUUUCUUUGUCCGUUCUCCACUCCCACUGCUUCACUUGAGCAGUCUUUU